GACGAACGCUGGCGGCGUGCUUAACACAUGCAAGUCGAACGAAGUGGCGAACGGGUGAGUAACGCGUAAUCAACCUGCCCUUCAGAGGGGGACAACAGUUGGAAACGACUGCUAAUACCGCAUACUGAAGGAGGGGAUUGCGUCUGAUGAGCUAGUGUGUGGGGUAACUGCCCACAAAGGCGAUGAGCAGUAGACGGUCUGAGAGGAUGAACUGCCAAAUUGGGACUGAGACACUGCCCAGACUCCUACGGGAGGCAGCACUUGGGAAGCUUCCGCAAUGGACGAAAGUCUGACGGAGCAACGCCGCGUGAGUGAUGACGGCUUUCGGGUUGUAAAGCUCUGUUAAUCGGGACGCGGUACCUGAAUAGAAAGCCACGGCUAACUACGUGCCAGCAGCCGCGGUAAUUC
rnacentral:rRNA from 1 species